AGCAUUCUCUGCCAUUUUAGAUGUAGAAUUUGUCACGGAUAGUCGUGUGAUACAUUGUCUAGUCUUUUAUCACUAAAAUGCGUCUUUUUGUAACUCUUUGACUUAAACCAAAAAAACUUAAACCAAGUUUUAUGUACUCGUAAAUUUAGUUGAUCGUAUAAAAUAUUUUGCCAUACAUGCGAAUGCCUUAGCCUCGAUAGGAACGUCAUCCAUUAUUGAAUUACGUUAUUUAACGUUAGAUUUUUGGCUGGUUUUGUAAACAGCCAAUCAAUUCCUAGUACUAGCUUGAAGGCUUUUUGUCAAAAUUUUGAAUCUUGCAUUUUAGUUAUUGUAUGUCAUACAAGUUUCUAGUCUGUGUCAGCCUAUAGGGUCCAGCAAUGUUAUGGUCCCCUCUCACAGUAGGGUGACCUACAUCCUUUGUGUUGGAACAAGUUAUUACAUGGAGGUGAAGUAUCAAUAGGAGACUUGAUUUGUUAACCAUUGGUUGAGAUAACAAAAGAGCAUGGAUUGGACCACAAUUUCAUUUCCCCGCUCGUCUUUGGAAUCCUGGGGUGCUCACAGUUGUAGCAGAACAUUCUUGUCUGCUCAGGCCACAAAUAAUGUAUAACAAAUCUAUCCACAUCUAGCAAGGAGCCAAGUACCAUAUCAUACAUAAAAAUGCCUGAAGAUAAAAAUGGAUUAGAGGCAUGUUGGAGUGAUGUUCUAGAAAGCAGCAUCCCAAGGGCAAGAAUCUGAAUUUAAAGGCUGAUCAACACAAUACAUACCUCUGUAACUUCGUAUUUCGUUGAUGGUGAAAUUGAAUUAAAUUGGAAAUUGAAAGUUA